AGAGGAGGCGAGGCGGCUGCGGAUUCCGUUGGAAUCUGAGGAAAGUCCGGGCUCCCGAAAGACCAGACUUGCUGGGUAACGCCCAGUGCGGGUGACCGUGAGGAUAGUGCCACAGAAACAUACCGCCGAUGGGGCUUCGGCCUACAGGUAAGGGUGCAAGGGUGCGGUAAGAGCGCACCAGCAACAUCGAGAGGUGUUGGCUCGGUAAACCCCGGUUGGGAGCAAGGUCGAAGGGGCAACGGUUGGUCUUUUACCGGCUCCGAGGAACGGGGCAACUCGUUCCUGCCAAUCCGCUUGAGGUGUUCGGUAACGGGCAUCCCAGAUAGAUAGCUGCCCAUGGGGGCUUGCCCCCGGGAACAGAACCCGGCUUAUGUCCGCCUCUUCCC
rnacentral:RNase_P_RNA from 2 species